AAGAACAUUAUGAUGAAAAUAAUGGACCAUGAAAGAUAUUAACUAAUAGUUAUGUCUAUAAAAUUAUUCGUAAAUAUGUUUAUUCUUUACGUAAUAAACAUAUGGGAGAAAAUAAAUAAUAUAAUGAAACUCAAGAUGGUGACGCAGACGGUGACGUUUGACAGCCGUUAGAUAAGAAAGACGCGUCAGGAGUUUUUGGCCAGACGACAAUAGCAGAGAAAAAAGAUCAGCAAAAGAACAUGACCACAUGGAUUUUCCAUCUGCUGAAGGAGCCCUCAUCACAAUUGCCUUCUUGACAUUCUCUUUAUUCUUGACCAAACUGGUUCUGCAAGUGAUAAAUGUGCUAAAAGCAAAAGCUUAUAACACUAAUCCUGGUUCAACAUUUCAAAUGGGGUUUAUAACAGCUAACAGAAUUAAGGAAGGAAAAAAUGCAAGAAAAUUGUCAUUUUCCGAUAUGCACAAAUAUGAACAUUUGCUCAGGUCAAUAUCAGCACCAUGAUUUUAACAUUACUUCAGAAUAACAUAUAAUAACAGAAAAUUGGCAGAAAAUUGACACCCACGUCUUGGUCACUAUUUACUAUCAUACAAUUAAUUAAAUUUUAAUCAUUAAACUCUGUUAAUAACAAUGUAGCCGA